rnacentral:rRNA from 1 species
AUUGAACGCUGGCGGCAGGCCUAACACAUGCAAGUCGAGCGGAUGAAGGGAGCUUGCUCCUGGAUUCAGCGGCGGACGGGUGAGUAAUGCCUAGGAAUCUGCCUGGUAGUGGGGGAUAACGUCCGGAAACGGGCGCUAACACCGCAUACGUCCUGAGGGAGAAAGUGGGGGAUCUUCGGACCUCACGCUAUCAGAUGAGCCUAGGUCGGAUUAGCUAGUUGGUGGGGUAAAGGCCUACCAAGGUGACGAUCCGUAACUGGUCUGAGAGGAUGAUCAGUCACACUGGAACUGAGACACGGUCCAGACUCCUACGGGAGGCAGCAGUGGGGAAUAUUGGACAAUGGGCGAAAGCCUGAUCCAGCCAUGCCGCGUGUGUGAAGAAGGUCUUCGGAUUGUAAAGCACUUUAAGUUGGGAGGAAGGGCAGUAAGUUAAUACCUUGCUGUUUUGACGUUACCAACAGAAUAAGCACCGGCUAACUUCGUG